GCAUGAGCCACUGUGCCUGGCCUCUGUUACUUUUAGUUUUUUUAGAUGGAGUCUAACUCUGUCGCCAGGCUGGAGUGCAGUGGUGCGAUCUCAGCUCACUGCAACCUCCACCUUCCGGGUUCAAGCGAUUCUCCUGCCUGAGCCUCCCGAGUAGCUGGGACUACAGGCACGCAGUACCACACCCAGCUAAUUUUUUAUUUUUAGUAGAGACGGGGUUUCACCAUGUUGGCCAGGAUGGUCUUGAUCUCUUGACCUUGUGAUCCACCCGCCUCAGUCUUCCAAAGUGCUGGGAUGAUAGGCGUGAGCCACUGCGCCCGGCUUCCAUUACUUUUUAUAACCAAGUAAUAUUAUGUCGUAUGUAUGUAGCACAUUUUGUUUAUCCGUUAAUUUGUUGUUGGACACUUGGGUGUUCCUACAUUUUGCCUAUUGUAAAUAAUGCUAGUGUGAACACUGGUGUGAAAAUAUGUUUUCGAAUCCCUACUUCAAGUACUUUUAGCUAUAUACCUAGGAGUGAAAUAGCUGAAUCAUACGGUAAUUUAACUGUUUUGUCCAGGCAUGGUGGCUCACGCCUGUAAUGCCAGCACUUUGGGAGGCUGAGCUGGGCGGAUCCGUCCAUUUGUUUAGGUGUUCUUUAACUUCUUUCAGUGAAUCUUUUGUAGUUUUUUGCAACCCCCACCUCCCGGGUUCAAGUGAUUCUCCUGCCUCAGCCUCCUUAGUAGCUGGGAUUACAGGCAUGCACCACCACGCCCAGCUAAUUUUUUUAUUUUUAGUAGAGACAGGGCUUCACCACGUUGGACAGGCUGCUCUUGAACUCCUGACCUCAAGUGAUCCGCCUGCCUUGGCCUCCCAAAGUGCUGGGAUUACAGGCGUGAGCUGUCUUGCCCAGCCAGUAUCUAUUGAAUAGACUCCUUUUCCAAUUGAAUGAUGUAUUAGCUUGGGCUGCCAUAAGAACAUACUACGGACUAGGUGGCUUGGCAUAAGCAACAGAAAUUUAUUUCUCACAAUUCCGGAGGCUGGGAAGGUAAGGUGCCAGCCGAUUCAGUUCCCAGUGAGGGUUCGCUUCCUGGCUUGCAGAUGGCUGCCUUCUUGCUGUGUUCUUACAUGGUGGAGAGAGACAGAUCUCUGGUGUCUCUUCCUCUUUUAGAGGCACCAGCCCUAUUGCAUUAGGGCCCCACCCUAUGGCCUCAUUUAACCUGUGUCACCUUCUCACAGCCACUGUCUCCCACACUGGGGGUUGGGGCUUCAACAUACAAAAUUUGGUGGGACCCAAACGACAAAGGGUCUAAGCAUCCUUGCUGAAAGUCAACUGAUAAUAUAUGCAAGGCUUUGUUUCUGGGCUCUCUAUUGUAUUACAUUUUAUUUCCUGUCAUGCCAGUAUCACAUUGUUUUUUAUUGUAGCUUUGUAUUAAGUUUUGAAAUCAGGAAGUGUGAGUCCUCCAACUUUGUUCUUUUUCAAGAUUGUUUUGGCUAUUUGGGGUCACUUGCCAUUCCAUAUGAAGUUCAGGAUAGUCCUUUUUUUCUUUUUUUCUUUGAAGCAGGAUCUCACUCUGUCACCCAGGCUGGAGUGCCAUGGCACAAACUCAGCUCACUGCAGCUUCGACCUCAUGGGCUCAAGCGACCCUUCCAUCUCAGCUUCCUGAGUAGCUGGGACUACAGCUAGAAGAUCAGGUCAGGUUUGAGGCCUGAAAAUUCUGCUGGCAGAGAUGGAAACACAACACGUGCAUUUCUGCUGAGAACCAAAGCCUACGGUCUGCAGAGAGCAGGCAGAGAGAUUCAGCUGGACCAGGUAGGAAGGCCCAGGAUGGUGGAAUAGCCCCAGCUGGAAGAAACAAAUCUGGUGUUCCCUGACUCUGCACCACCCAAGUCAGGGUGGUUCAGUCCCCCAGCUUCGACAGAAGAACCACAUCACUCAGGCCCACAAUUCCCCAAACCACAGGAAGAGCAACCAGGUUUUAGGCCCUGGUGAUGGGACAGGUGGCCAUGAGGCCUCCUGUGUAAACCUGGAACUUGGGAAGAGGCCUUGGAGCAACCGGCUACACCCAGAAGCUCCCACCCCAGCUCACGGGUGAAGGGCCAGUGGAACAGGAGAAGCUCCCACCCCAGCUCACGGGGGAAGGGCCAGUGGAACAGGGAUGUGUUCUUCCUACAGAAAGCCUUGUGACUUCCUGCCCUUUCAGUAAAGGCUUUUGUGCAUUCUA